GACGAACGCUGGCGGCGUGCUUAACACAUGCAAGUCGAACGGAAAGGCCCUGCUUUUGUGGGGUGCUCGAGUGGCGAACGGGUGAGUAACACGUGAGUAACCUGCCCUUGACUUUGGGAUAACUUCAGGAAACUGGGGCUAAUACCGGAUAGGAGCUCCUGCUGCAUGGUGGGGGUUGGAAAGUUUCGGCGGUUGGGGAUGGACUCGCGGCUUAUCAGCUUGUUGGUGGGGUAGUGGCUUACCAAGGCUUUGACGGGUAGCCGGCCUGAGAGGGUGACCGGCCUAUUGGGGAAUGAGAGAGGGCCCAGCCGCCACCGGGGGGCAGCGGGGGGGAAUAUGGAAGAAGGGGCGGAGGCUUGAGGCGGCCGCCCCCGGUGGGGAAGGAGGGCCUGGGGUUUGAAAACCGCUUUCGCCUGUAACGAAGGGGAAGUGACGGUAGGGGAAAAAGAAGCCCGGGCUAACUAGGUG
rnacentral:rRNA from 1 species